rnacentral:lncRNA from 1 species
CAGACAACUACCCAUCAGAGAAGCAGUAAAAUCAACCCCCCAACUCCCUUCCACCCAGAGAGAUAUCUAGAGUGUCAAAUCACCUGGAGGGCUUGUGACGCCACAGAUCACUACAUCUCAUGCCAAGUUUCUGAUUCAGUAGGUCUGGAGAGGGCCAGAGGUUUUGCAUUUCCAACAAGCUCCCAGGCGAUGCCCAUGUUGGCCAGCCCCUUCAAGUUCAGAGGGAUCAUGCAAAUGAGGCCCCAAGGCCUGCCUGGAGCAUCUCAGAGUUCCCCCAGGCAAAUGCAGUUUAAAGCAGACAACCUGAAAUUAAAACACAGAAAUAAACAACUGAAGAGGGUCUCCUUUGCCUUUCUCAGUGUGGAAGAGAUGACUUGUACCAGGGUCCAAGUCUUCAAGAUGAUGGAGAGGGAAGGAGGUGGGUGGUGCCAGGCUGCUUUACAUAUUUGCAGCCACAUUGCGACUGUUCAAGUGCUGCGCGUGGAGGAGCAGAUGCAAUCAUGGAUACGCUCUGAAAGAUUGUUUACAGACUGCUUGGUGACUGUGCAACUUUUUUUCUUUUAGUACCAACAAGUGGUACCAAGCGCCAUUUCUCUUUGAAUAAUCCCAGGGCUUCGUGCCAGUGUUUGAUUUUGCAAUCAGUCCUUCUGGUAGCACUUUAAAUUAAUGUUCGCACAUAUGGAUUUAAUUGGAAUUUAAUAAGACACUGCAUAAGUAAAAACCAUGUGAUACUAAAAACAUAUUUACUGAAGAUUAACCACCAUGGAGAUACAAAUCUAUUAUGUAGAAACCCCAAUAAAUAUUUUUAGAAUGUUAAAUCAUGUGU